rnacentral:tRNA from 1 species
GGUGCAUAGCUCAGGUGGUAGAGCAGCUGCCUUUUAAGCAGCGGGUCCAAGGUUCGAGUCCUUGUGCACC